GAUUCUUCGUCGACAGGCGAAUCGGACGACCGACCGGUCCGAUUCGUCGAAGCCGAAAGGAGCCCCACAAUUGCUGCCCACCACAGGAAGAUCUGCCUCCAAUUCUGCUCCACCCACAUGCACCAUAUCACCGGAGAAACCAACAGCACAAUCUACAGGCUACAGCAACAGGGGAACAGCAGAAUGAGACCAGCACCGGGACCUCUUUUCUUCUCUGGCAAAAAUUUGCGGUGGUGAAGAUUUGAUCAUCAUCUAUGGUAACAAAUGAUCGAUCACGCAGACCGUUCGAUCGAAAAGUCGAGCUGACUUGUAGCCUCCCCUAUCCUAUGUACUCCCUCCGUUCGGAAUUACUUGUCGCAGAAAUGGAUGUAUCUAGACGUAUUUUAGUUCUAGAUACAUUCAUUUUCAAGACAAGUAAUUCCGAACGGAGGGAGUAUGUGCUAGCACCAAGAAAUUCUCCCAGUUGUACAAAGGGGUCUCUUUCUGAUGUGAGCAUCUGGGUCUGGGUCUUAUCUGAGCAAAAAGGAUGGCCGGCAGGAAUGUACCUGUACCACCCAGCAUCAGAUAUUCAGAUCAUUCCGCAUCGAGCUCCCGAUAAGGCGCAUCCUCCGAUUGGUGGACAGAAAUCCAUUAGGUUCAGGUCACAUCUUGCUUGAAUCUGAAUCAUUCCCUGCA